UUUUGGUGGUUACCCUGUGCUCCUUAAGGACCCAGAUUCACACCGUUUUGGUGGUCAGCCUGUAAGUGGAGGAGAUACCAAAGUGUUUUUAAGUACCGAGUUCUGUGACUUGCUCUCUAG
rnacentral:lncRNA from 1 species